rnacentral:rRNA from 1 species
GAACGGGUGCGUAACACGUGAACAACCUGCCCUCGUGUGGGGGAUAGCCAUGCUAACGCGUGGGUAAUACCGCAUACGUUCCUCUGGGGGAGUCCCUGGGGGAGGGAAAGCUCCGGCGCACGGGGAGGGGUUCGCGGCCUAUCAGCUAGUUGGUGCGGUAACGGCGCACCAAGGCGACGACGGGUAGCUGGUCUGAGAGGAUGGCCAGCCACAUUGGGACUGAGAGACGGCCCAG